CCUACGGGAGGCAGCAGUGGGGAAUAUUGGGCAAUGGGCGCAAGCCUGACCCAGCAACGCCGCGUGAAGGAAGAAGGCUUUCGGGUUGUAAACUUCUUUUGUCAGGGACGUAGCAAGUGACGGUACCUGCCGAAUAAGCCACGUCUAACUACGUGCCAGCAGCCGCGGCAAUCCGUAGGUGGCAAGCGUUAUCCGGAUUUACUGGGUGUAAAGGGCGUGUAGGCGGGACUGCAAGUCAGAUGUGAAAACCACGGGCUCAACCGGUGGCCUGCAUUUGACACUGUAGUUCUUGAGUACUGUAGAGGCAGACGGAAUUCCUGGUGUAGCGGUGAAAUGCGUAGAUAUUAGGAGGAACCCCAGUGGCGAAGGCAGUCUGCUGAACAGCAACUGACACUGAGGCGCGAAAGCGUGGGGAGCAAACAGGAUUAGAUACCCUUGUAGUC
rnacentral:rRNA from 1 species